CUAACAGUUUCAUGAUUUUUUUUUCAAAAUCUUUGGUUUAUAGAUCACAUCGCAGUAUCCCAUUUCCAGACAUCUACAACCCUAUAUAAGAUUAAGAUUGAUCCAGUUAUCUAAUUUCAUCCGAUUAAGAUCCAAUUAGGAUAUAUGUGGUUCAACAAAUAUCAAAGAUAAUUAAAUCAAUAGUAUUUAACAAAAAUCAAGGUGG
rnacentral:lncRNA from 1 species